ACCUUCGGGCCUCUUGCCAUCAGAUGUGCCCAGAUGGGAUUAGCUUGUUGGUGAGGUAACGGCUCACCAAGGCGACGAUCCCUAGCUGGUCUGAGAGGAUGACCAGCCACACUGGAACUGAGACACGGUCCAGACUCCUACGGGAGGCAGCAGUGGGGAAUAUUGCACAAUGGGCGCAAGCCUGAUGCAGCCAUGCCGCGUGUAUGAAGAAGGCCUUCGGGUUGUAAAGUACUUUCAGCGGGGAGGAAGGUGUUGUGGUUAAUAACCGCAGCAAUUGACGUUACCCGCAGAAGAAGCACCGGCUAACUCCGUGCCAGCAGCCGCGGUAAUACGGAGGGUGCAAGCGUUAAUCGGAAUUACUGGGCGUAAAGCGCACGCAGGCGGU
rnacentral:rRNA from 1 species